GGUUAAGCGACUAAGCGUACACGGUGGAUGCCCUGGCAGUCAGAGGCGAUGAAGGACGUGCUAAUCUGCGAAAAGCGUCGGUAAGGUGAUAUGAACCGUUAUAACCGGCGAUGUCCGAAUGGGGAAACCCAGUGUGAUUCGUCACACUAUCGUUAACUGAAUACAUAGGUUAACGAGGCGAACCGGGGGAACUGAAACAUCUAAGUACCCCGAGGAAAAGAAAUCAACCGAGAUUCCCCCAGUAGCGGCGAGCGAACGGGGAGCAGCCCAGAGUCUGAAUCAGCUUGUGUGUUAGUGGAACGGUCUGGAAAGUCCGACGGUACAGGGUGAUAGUCCCGUACACCAAAAUGCACAGGUUGUGAACUCGAAGAGUAGGGCGGGACACGUGGUAUCCUGUCUGAAUAUGGGGGGACCAUCCUCCAAGGCUAAAUACUCCUGACUGACCGAUAGUGAACCAGUACCGUGAGGGAAAGGCGAAAAGAACCCCGGCGAGGGGAGUGAAAAAGAACCUGAAACCGUGUACGUACAAGCAGUGGGAGCACCUUCGGGUGUGACUGCGUACCUUUUGUAUAAUGGGUCAGCGACUUAUAUUCUGUAGCAAGGUUAACCGUAUAGGGGAGCCGCAGGGAAACCGAGUCUUAACUGGGCGUUAAGUUGCAGGGUAUAGACCCGAAACCCGGUGAUCUAGCCAUGGGCAGGUUGAAGGUUGGGUAACACUAACUGGAGGACCGAACCGACUAAUGUUGAAAAAUUAGCGGAUGACUUGUGGCUGGGGGUGAAAGGCCAAUCAAACCGGGAGAUAGCUGGUUCUCCCCGAAAGCUAUUUAGGUAGCGCCUCGUGAACUCAUCUUCGGGGGUAGAGCACUGUUUCGGCUAGGGGGUCAUCCCGACUUACCAACCCGAUGCAAACUACGAAUACCGAAGAAUGUUAUCACGGGAGACACACGGCGGGUGCUAACGUCCGUCGUGAAGAGGGAAACAACCCAGACCGCCAGCUAAGGUCCCAAAGUCAUGGUUAAGUGGGAAACGAUGUGGGAAGGCACAGACAGCCAGGAUGUUGGCUUAGAAGCAGCCAUCAUUUAAAGAAAGCGUAAUAGCUCACUGGUCGAGUCGGCCUGCGCGGAAGAUGUAACGGGGCUAAACCAUGCACCGAAGCUGCGGCAGCGACACUAUGUGUUGUUGGGUAGGGGAGCGUUCUGUAAGCCUGCGAAGGUGACCUGUGAGGGUUGCUGGAGGUAUCAGAAGUGCGAAUGCUGACAUAAGUAACGAUAAAGCGGGUGAAAAGCCCGCUCGCCGGAAGACCAAGGGUUCCUGUCCAACGUUAAUCGGGGCAGGGUGAGUCGACCCCUAAGGCGAGGCCGAAAGGCGUAGUCGAUGGGAAACAGGUUAAUAUUCCUGUACUUGGUGUUACUGCGAAGGGGGGACGGAGAAGGCUAUGUUAGCCGGGCGACGGUUGUCCCGGUUUAAGCAUGUAGGCUGGUUGUCCAGGCAAAUCCGGAUAAUCAAGGCUGAGGUGUGAUGACGAGGCACUACGGUGCUGAAGUAACAAAUGCCCUGCUUCCAGGAAAAGCCUCUAAGCAUCAGGUAACAUCAAAUCGUACCCCAAACCGACACAGGUGGUCAGGUAGAGAAUACCAAGGCGCUUGAGAGAACUCGGGUGAAGGAACUAGGCAAAAUGGUGCCGUAACUUCGGGAGAAGGCACGCUGGUGUGUAGGUGAAGUCCCUGCGGAUGGAGCUGAGACCAGUCGAAGAUACCAGCUGGCUGCAACUGUUUAUUAAAAACACAGCACUGUGCAAACACGAAAGUGGACGUAUACGGUGUGACGCCUGCCCGGUGCCGGAAGGUUAAUUGAUGGGGUUAUCCGUAAGGAGAAGCUCUUGAUCGAAGCCCCGGUAAACGGCGGCCGUAACUAUAACGGUCCUAAGGUAGCGAAAUUCCUUGUCGGGUAAGUUCCGACCUGCACGAAUGGCGUAAUGAUGGCCAGGCUGUCUCCACCCGAGACUCAGUGAAAUUGAACUCGCUGUGAAGAUGCAGUGUACCCGCGGCAAGACGGAAAGACCCCGUGAACCUUUACUAUAGCUUGACACUGAACAUUGAGCCUUGAUGUGUAGGAUAGGUGGGAGGCUUUGAAGCGUGGACGCCAGUCUGCGUGGAGCCAACCUUGAAAUACCACCCUUUAAUGUUUGAUGUUCUAACGUUGGCCCCUGACCGGGGUUGCGGACAGUGUCUGGUGGGUAGUUUGACUGGGGCGGUCUCCUCCCAAAGCGUAACGGAGGAGCACGAAGGUUAGCUAAUCCUGGUCGGACAUCAGGAGGUUAGUGCAAUGGCAUAAGCUAGCUUGACUGCGAGCGUGACGGCGCGAGCAGGUGCGAAAGCAGGUCAUAGUGAUCCGGUGGUUCUGAAUGGAAGGGCCAUCGCUCAACGGAUAAAAGGUACUCCGGGGAUAACAGGCUGAUACCGCCCAAGAGUUCAUAUCGACGGCGGUGUUUGGCACCUCGAUGUCGGCUCAUCACAUCCUGGGGCUGAAGUAGGUCCCAAGGGUAUGGCUGUUCGCCAUUUAAAGUGGUACGCGAGCUGGGUUUAGAACGUCGUGAGACAGUUCGGUCCCUAUCUGCCGUGGGCGCUGGAGAAUUGAGGGGGGCUGCUCCUAGUACGAGAGGACCGGAGUGGACGCAUCACUGGUGUUCGGGUUGUCAUGCCAAUGGCACUGCCCGGUAGCUAAAUGCGGAAGAGAUAAGUGCUGAAAGCAUCUAAGCACGAAACUUGCCCCGAGAUGAGUUCUCCCUGAGACUUUAAGUCUCCUGAAGGAACGUUAAAGACGAUGACGUUGAUAGGCCGGGUGUGUAAGCGCAGCGAUGCGUUGAGCUAACCGGUACUAAUGAACCGUGAGGCUUAACCUU
rnacentral:rRNA from 1 species